ensembl:ncRNA
UAUCACAGUGGCUGUUCUUUUU